UAGGGAAUCUUCCGCAAUGGACGCAAGUCUGACGGAGCAACGCCGCGUGAGUGAAGAAGGAUUUCGGUUCGUAAAACUCUGUUGUUAGAGAAGAACAGCGCAUAGAGUAACUGUUAUGCGUGUGACGGUAUCUAACCAGAAAGCCACGGCUAACUACGUGCCAGCAGCCGCGGUAAUACGUAGGUGGCAAGCGUUGUCCGGAUUUAUUGGGCGUAAAGCGAGCGCAGGCGGUUAGAUAAGUCUGAAGUUAAAGGCAGUGGCUCAACCAUUGUAGGCUUUGGAAACUGUUUAACUUGAGUGCAGAAGGGGAGAGUGGAAUUCCAUGUGUAGCGGUGAAAUGCGUAGAUAUAUGGAGGAACACCAGUGGCGAAGGCGACUCUCUGGUCUGUAACUGACGCUGAGGCUCGAAAGCGUGGGGAGCGAACAGG
rnacentral:rRNA from 1 species